rnacentral:rRNA from 1 species
UACGGGGGGGGCUAGCGUUGCUCGGAAUGACUGGGCGUAAAGGGCGCGUAGGCGGUGCCACAAGUCACUUGUGAAAUCCCCGGGCUUAACUCGGGGCCUGCAGGCGAAACUGUGGUGCUGGAGUAUGGGAGAGGUGCGUGGAAUUCCUGGUGUAGCGGUGAAAUGCGCAGAUAUCAGGAAGAACACCCGUGGCGAAGGCGGCUCUCUGGAACGCAACUGACGCUGAGACGCGAAAGCGUGGGGAGCAAACAGG